rnacentral:rRNA from 1 species
UACGUAGGGUGCAAGCGUUGUCCGGAAUUAUUGGGCGUAAAGAGCUCGUAGGCGGUUUGUCGCGUCUGCUGUGAAAACUCAGGGCUUAACCCUGAGCUUGCAGUGGGUACGGGCAGACUAGAGUGCGGUAGGGGAGACUGGAAUUCCUGGUGUAGCGGUGAAAUGCGCAGAUAUCAGGAGGAACACCGGUGGCGAAGGCGGGUCUCUGGGCCGUAACUGACGC